GAGAAAAAUUUCCUCGCGGUUACAGGAACGCGUAUUAGUCGUGUUUAAAAAUCGCAACAACUUCCGGGAACGUCUAGAUGACGGCUCAUCAUUUCGGUAUCUAAUAUGGAGCAAGCGGAACACAUAUUGGCUGAAUUGAUAGUUAAUAAUGAAUCACUUCCAAAUAUUGUUAACAACCAGCCGACGACUGCAGCAUGGACCACUAAAAACUACGACGAAUAGCGAAGUAGCUGCGGCCGGAUUCAUAACCGUUGUUCUAUUUUUAAAUAAUUCCUGGGAAAAUACGGGUCACAAUACUGAAUAGUAUUUGCGAUGGUAUAUCGUUAUUGAUUUUUGCAAUGACCGAGAGACGGUGGGGGACUUUUCUCUGCACACGUCUUUCACGACUUCCACGCACAAACGUCAAUUGCAACAAUAUUUUUUCUAUUAUUUCAAUAACAAAAUUUCAAUUUUUCCCCUACCCUCUCUCACCGUUGUCCGCGACUCGAAUGCAAAAGAAAAAAAAAAAAAAAAUACCACCUCCGCGAA